GCCGAAGUGGUGGAAUUGGCAGACGCGCUGGACUCAAAAUCCUGUGAGGCUUAAUCCUCGUGCGGGUUCGACUCCCGCCUUCGGCACCA
rnacentral:tRNA from 1 species